GCAGGAAAGGGGGGGAGGUUCCCCACAGAGGGGACAGUGCCCUGCCUCAGGGACCCUCUCACUCUCCGCUGGGGGAGUCUGGGCAGGAAGUAACUUUAGGGUGAGCCAUUUAACAGAACGACCUAAGGUGGAGGGGAGAGAGGAGAGCUUUGUGCCAGAGGCAGAGGAGGGAUUUUUGGAGAUGAACUCAGGGAGAGGCAGAGUGAAAUGUACAGUUCAGUUUUAACAAGGAAUUUCGCGUCCACUGGCGUGGAAGGGACACAGUGGCCCAGCCUGGGUCCCUGGUGCUAUGGGGUUCGUGGGACUAGAGGAGGCGCUGAAGAUGGUGAGGAGGGGCCAGGUCCCUGGAGAAGGCACCGGAUGUGAAGCGCAGGUAGAGGAUGUCUUGAGUUUCACGGUCUGCAAUCGCAGGCAGCAAGCACCUUUCGGGACUGCACGGCAGAGACGCGCGACCCAAGGUGGCGACCUUGGCAUCAAUCCAGAAAGGCAACUUGUUCUCCCAACCUGCUCAGGAAGUCUUCCUUCAGGCCAGCCGGCUUUUCUAGAAGGUUCUCCAGGGAGCUAGUCCCAGGGCUCCGCCUCUGGAGUCUCCGCGCUUCCCUCGCUUGCCUCUAGAUGGAAGACUUCCUCGCCUGGUGCCCAGCAGGCUCCCCCAGCGGCCACAUCCACCAAACCUGUGGGUGCUAGAAUUCUCAGAACCAAAUGCAAACCUUGUCUUCUGCCACAAAGCA